rnacentral:rRNA from 1 species
UACGUAGGGUGCAAGCGUUAAUCGGAAUUACUGGGCGUAAAGCGUGCGCAGGCGGUUGUGCAAGACAAAUGUGAAAUCCCCGGGCUCACCUGGGAAUUGCAUUUGUGACUGCACGGCUAGAGUGUGUCAGGAGGGGGUAGAAUUCCACGUGUAGCAGUGAAAUGCGUAGAGAUGUGGAGGAAUACCGAUGGCGAAGGCAGCCCCCUGGGAUAA